rnacentral:rRNA from 1 species
UCGAGAAUCUUCCGCAAUGGGCGCAAGCCUGACGGAGCGACGCCGCGUGUGGGAUGAAGGCCUUCGGGUUGUAAACCACUGUCGUAGGGGAGGAAGGGCCGGUGAAGAGCCGGCUUUGACCUAUCCUAGGAGGAAGGGUGGGCUAAGUUCGUGCCAGCAGCCGCGGUAAGACGAACCACCCAAACGUUAUUCGGAAUUACUGGGCUUAAAGGGUGCGUAGGCGGCGUGGAAAGUUGGGUGUGAAAUCCCUCGGCUCAACCGAGGAACUGCGCUCAAAACUACCAUGCUCGAGGAAGACAGAGGUAAGCGGAACUUCGGGUGGAGCGGUGAAAUGCGUUGAUAUCCGAAGGAACACCGGUGGCGAAAGCGGCUUACUGGGUCUUUUCUGACGCUGAUGCACGAAAGCCAGGGGAGCAAACGG